UUGAACGCUGGCGGCAUGCUUUACACAUGCAAGUCGAACGGUAACAGGCCUUCGGGUGCUGACGAGUGGCGAACGGGUGAGUAAUGCAUCGGAACGUACCCAGAGGUGGGGGAUAACGCAGCGAAAGCUGUGCUAAUACCGCAUGUGAUCUGAGGAUGAAAGCGGGGGACCGAGCAGCAAUGUUUGGCCUCGCGCCUUUGGAGCGGCCGAUGUCGGAUUAGCUAGUUGGUGGGGUAAAGGCCUACCAAGGCGACGAUCCGUAGCUGGUCUGAGAGGACGACCAGCCACACUGGGACUGAGACACGGCCCAGACUCCUACGGGAGGCAGCAAUGGGGAAUUUUGGACAAUGGGCGCAAGCCUGAUCCAGCAAUGCCGCGUGCGGGAAGAAGGCCUUCGGGUUGUAAACCGCUUUUGGCAGGAACGAAACGGUGUCCGCUAAUACCGGGCGCUAAUGACGGUACCUGCAGAAUAAGCACCGGCUAACUACGUGC
rnacentral:rRNA from 1 species